GAACUGAAGAGUUUGAUCAUGGCUCAGAUUGAACGCUGGCGGCAGGCCUAACACAUGCAAGUCGAGCGGUAGAGAGGUGCUUGCACCUCUUGAGAGCGGCGGACGGGUGAGUAAUGCCUAGGAAUCUGCCUGGUAGUGGGGGAUAACGCUCGGAAACGGGCGCUAAUACCGCAUACGUCCUACGGGAGAAAGCAGGGGACCUUCGGGCCUUGCGCUAUCAGAUGAGCCUAGGUCGGAUUAGCUAGUUGGUGAGGUAAUGGCUCACCAAGGCGACGAUCCGUAACUGGUCUGAGAGGAUGAUCAGUCACACUGGAACUGAGACACGGUCCAGACUCCUACGGGAGGCAGCAGUGGGGAAUAUUGGACAAUGGGCGAAAGCCUG
rnacentral:rRNA from 1 species